CUGAUGUCUAUGAUAUGAUCUUGUUUUUCUGAUAUGUAGUGGGGCAGACAGGGUGCUUGUAUAUUUAUUUAUAUUCUAAUAAGGAUUUGUAUUUUAAUAAGGAUAUUUUUAUAGUUUUAAUAAGCUUAUAUAUCUAUUAUAUUUUAAUGAGAUGGUAAGAUGUGAUAGUUUCAGAUAGUUUACUGAUAAUAUGGUUUCUUUGGGUAAAGGGUGAAUGAAGUGGGAAACAAAAAAGCUUAAUUCUUCAUAUAUCUGUAAUUGUGACUUCUUACAGUGAGCAUAUAUUUUUAAAUGUAAAAGUAUUUGAUUAAGAAAAUGAGAUGGGGGACAGUCUAAUGAGUUCUAGUUCUAAGUAAAUUCUUAAUGUUAUUGUACAACAUUUUAGUAGUCUCAUUACAAGGAGACACACUAGAGCCCUUUAAAACUUCCCAUAUAAUGUAAGUGAAAACAGUGCCUACAAUAUAGGUUGACUAGUUGAUCUUAUAGUAAAGUCUAAGCAGUAGAUCCUGGAGGAACAACAACAAGAGCAAUAGCAACAACAACAACAACAACAACAACAACAACAAUGACAACGACUAUAUAUUUUUGUAUGUGUAUAUAUAUAUAUCAAUUGACUAAAACUAUUUUGAUGGCAAGCUUCUUGAGUAUGUUAUGCACAGAAAUUUAUUGUCACAGCUCACAGCAGCAUGUAUAAAUUCAAAGAUCUCCAUAGAGGUAUAUUACCACUGUCUUUAUACCACGUCAAAAAUAUUUCCUUACAGAGAGACAAAGAAGAAAUGUAAAGGAUGGCUUUUAUUCAUCAAUGUUUGGUUCAUCACAACUUUCCUAGCCCACUCCACCCUCUCCUCAUCUUUGCCUUCAAGUUAAAGAGCAGAAAACUGAUCUGGUCAAAAAUCAGUGUGUUUAGGAAAAUCUCCAAGUGGUUACCAGGGGAUUAGCUGCAUCACAGCCGCCUUUCUCUCACUCAGUGAAGAAAGUGUUGUAAGUGCAGCUGCUCAAGCCUUUUCUUCACUCCAAGGUGUCUAGGGAGUCACCAGGUGAAGAUAGGAGAAAGGAGGAGAAAAAUGCUCCCUGUCGGAAGCAAUGCAUAGCAUUUUGAGGCCUAGAAGCAAGACAGGAUGAUGCCAGAGAAGGCUUGAAGAUAGUGACAGAAAAGGGAGGCAGAAAUUACUGUAAAUGAAAACAAAAAUAAACAAAUGGGAUCUAAUCAAACGUAAAGGCUUUUGCACAAUGAAGGAAAGCAUUAAAAUGAAAAGGCAGUCUACUGUAUGGGAGAAGAUACUUGCAAAUGAUAUGUCUGCUCUAUUAAAUCUAAGAGAUUGGAAUUGAAAGAUAUUAUUUUCGCCCAUCUCUAUCUGAAGAACAUGAAAGAUGUCUCAGCUAUUAACUCAGCAUAUAUGACCACAUCCAAACUGCCUGCCUGCAAGGUUGGAGAAGUCAUGUACCUGGCUGGGCAAAAUGCACUAGCACCUUGCACAACGAAACUUGUUAAUGAUGGAAUACAAACAGAAGUUUCCAUGUCCUUAAGCCACACCCUGAAAAUUCUGGAAGAUCCGCACAGAGGCGCUGGACUUCUCCACAUUCUCACGGCUUGCUGUUACGUAACGAGCAGCAAGUUCAUUGCAACACUCUGGAUACCUGGCUGAAGAACUUAAGGACACAUCAAAAAGAGGUGGGAGUAUUUCUCAGGUCCAGCAGGCACACAGAGGUCAUGCUGCCUGUUGCUGAUUUGGCAAAGCUUGUUUUGGAGCUGAGCCUGCGCAUUGCUGCUUCUGCUAACGAGGAGUCUGCCAGCAGUCCCCAGGAGCCGCUUCUUACUUCGGGAAGAACACAAGUGUCAUGGCCAUGCCAGUGACACAGGUCACAUCCUGGUGGUGGUUCCCCAUCUCUCCAGAGAUGCUGCUGGGGUGGCAUAGCCGGUUAGAAGGAAGAAGAUCUCUGAGGGUUUUUGAAUUGAAUGUGAAGCUGUGGCAUCCAGUUCCACUUCCUGUGCCUCUGUCUCCAUUUCUUUAAGACGUGUGUCACCUUCUCUUUCCUCACCUGAUUUAAGCAGGACUCUAGAAGACCUGAUGACUGCAUUUGUACAAGCAAGAAGACUCUCUGAAGACAACAAAGCUGCACCAUUGUGUUUUAGAAUGUCCUGUGAAAAAGACAACGUUAAUGUCAAUGUACUGCAAGCAGGUAAGAGAACUAUUUGAGAGAUGAGAGGCAAGUACAGACUGUGGAACCACAUCAUAGAGGCUUGUCAGAGAGAAAGAAUAACGUAAGUAGCAUGGGAGGCAUUUGCCUCCAGUCCAGUUAGUAAGAGUGAGUGUGAGAUGGGAGAUGUGAAUCCACUGUUUCCUCUGUUGAUCUCAGCUCUCUUAUGCCUUUUGUGUGAACCUCUCACUACUCUAUGAAUGAUUCUCGUGUUUAAAGAUAUUUUUCCUACUCUAUGACCCUCUUUAUUAUAUUCCAAACCAUACGGUACACAUUAAACAUUUAUACAUACGUAUUAGUGAACAGGUUUGUGUACAUAGUACCAUAAAUACUAUACUUUAGAGAUGACUUAUGGGAUUUAGACCACCUCCAUGUAAAUGUGACUCCAUAAUACACACACAUAAAUGAGAGCCAAAAACCUCAUCCCCCAAACCAGCUCUGACUCAAAGGGGAGCCCCACUAUUCAUGUUCCAAAAGCAUUUUACUAAUAUGGCUUUAAUUUAUCCUUCUAAGAGACAGAAAUAACCGAUAUGCACUUGGCAUAUUUCACCGUGUGACUGGCUAUCAGAACAAGACGUCUGAACAAAAAAGCACACUUUGUUCUCAUCAAGCAAGUUAUGGUUGAGAGUCAGAACUUGUAACCUACCAACUAGUUAAUUUCCAAUUCGAAUAGCAGUGGGAAAGUUUUCGCUAGUCCCAGGCCCAUGGAAGUUUUGGUUUCCCUUGGACCAGCCUCAUGUAAAUAGGACUGCCUGAAUUUGAUUCAGAAUGAUCAAUCCCAAUUUGAUAUACUAUGCCUUUAUUGUAUUAGCCUUAAUUGUGUGCAGAGUCCCUCAGUGGAUUUUAAAAUGCACUUGUACCCCAGGCCUUGCUAUAGGCGAAUUUGAAUUCGAUAUUUGCAAAUUGAAUUGUGUUUUGAACAUUUUAUGGAAGUUAGCUUUUAAAAUGCAUUAUUUCUUAUAUCAGAUACUUCUUAUGUAAGGUGAAUAACUCUCUGCUCAUUUAUCUUUGGUUUAAAUACAGAUUUUAAUAAAUAGAAUCUGUCUUUAGCAAGAACCUUUCUGUAGCUAACUUUAGUCUUUUGGUGAUUAUUUCUUUGCAGACUAAGCGGAGUAAUAAUGAUUAUGUCACACCAAUCCUGUGGUAGUGUUAUCUUUAUAAUAUGGGGAAGAGAGCAAGCCACAGGUGGUUCUGAUCACCUUCCCAAGAUCGGUCACCUGGCUCCUUAGUGGAUGGUUACUACAAGAUAGUGGAUAUAUUUCCCUGUGCUAUACGUAUCCUCCCUCUGCCCGGAGUGGGGGAGGGUUGUUGCCCUAUCCUGGCUGUCGUCUGCCAUACACAGUAGGACGUCACUCCCUGACCUUUGCCUCUGACGGCAGCCCCGCGCUCAUGGCUCAUCUGACUGCAUGGGGAUGGCUGGCGAAUAUAGACAAAACACAUGAGCCUGGAUUAUCUAUCAAAUACUUGAGUGUUAUCUGGUUGGGUAAGACAAGCAUAUCUCCAACCCAUCAUCCCUAAACAAUUACAGACACAGGCUUUAGAAAUAUUAACUCUGGAACAGGCUCAUGAAUUGAACAUGACAGUUACCUAGAAGAGUUUGGUUGGGGCCUGUGGCAACAGCAAAAUGAGUCCCCUUUGACUUCUGGUCCCAGCUAUGGAAGGGGGCAGAGCAACGAUAUAGUGUGAUGGAGCAACAGCUAUAUGCCAUCGCCAAUGUGUUACCGCAGGUGAAAGACAUUACAAAAGACCCACCCGAGUCAUCAAGCAAUGCAGAAAACGUGUGCAACAUGCAGAGCCCCCGUGGACAGCGAUAGCAGCCAAGGAACCCACUUUACCGGCCGUGCAGUUGAGGAUGGGCUGAUGAAAGUGCCAUACGCGGGCGUCUCCACCUGCCUGACAGCCCCUCUGCUGCCGGGCUAAUGGACGGCUUUCACAACAGUUCAGAUGGAAACCCGCUCUCUCAACAUGUGGACUAGAGGCUGACUCAGGCCUCCAAACUAUAACUAAACGUCCCAGGUGCAGUCGUCCUAGUGCCCGCGCCAUGUUAACCCGGAGGCAGCUAGUCAACACCACCUGAGUUCAGCUGUUGACCACCAAAGGACUGUUACCAGCUAUCGAUCAGGACAAUAACUCACUUUUGCCCUUGCCACAGCAUCUACCACUGGGGGAGCACACAAGGAAAAGGCCCUGGGACUGGCAGGCUGUAACCCUGCAUGACGAAUUCCAGCCCAGAGCAACAUUUUAUGAUCCACUGUCAAGUUCUUGAAAAAUGAAAAAUGAGAGGAAAGAGAGGUUUAACUGUAACAUGGAUACACUUUGGACUGGAUGUUAGCCACCUGAAUAAGGAAGAUGGAAAAUUUCAGCCAGCCACAAAUGGACUGAGACCCGCCAAUCUCAUUUCACAUCGAGCAGGUGUCCCAGACCAAGCUACAAAGAGUUCCAGACAUUUUUGGAGUCAGAAAUGGACAAGAUGGCACCCACACUGGGUCCGGUACCUGUGACGCAUUUACCCAGAGGAGGAAUUAUCCAUGUGGCAAUGCUGGCUUAGAAUUCAGACCACCAAGCAAGAACUCCACCACUCUGCUUGAGGAGUGAGCUCUUCACACUAACUGUUCUCAGCACUCCUCAGAGAUGCCUUUCUCUCACUGAGGCAAAGCUGUGCUAAGGAUUUUAAUACUGCAAAUGACAGGCCUUUUGAAGACUCCAAAUGACCUUUUCUGUCUAGGUAUAAACAUGUGUUUUCCUUCAAAAAUAUCCCCUAUCAACACAAACUCUCCAAACUUUUAGCUUCCUGCUAAAGCAGGAUAAAGUCAGCUUCUUCUGAGCCACCGGUUGUAACUUGUAAAUGAACUGAUUUUUCUGGUAUGAUGGGUUACCAGUUCUGUCAUCAUCAUCUCUUGUCCACUGACCAGAGAGGUUGUGGAUGACAGUUGUAUCUGGCAUUCUAUAUGGUUUCCCUAUCAACUUGCUUCUGAGGCCCAGCAUCUGGCAGAGAAUGCUCCACGUAACGGAUUGUUAUUUUCAUCACUAUUGAGCUGAGCAUGCUUUUUAUCUGCAUUAUUUCAUUUAAUCCUUACAGUGAUCCUCUAAAGCACAAAGAAACUUGAAUGACCAGGACGUGGUCAUUACCGACGGAAGAAACGGCUUGAACCAGUGAUCUGAUGCCCGAGCUCUUGUUCUUAACCACUUCAUUUAUGCUUCUCCAUGAAUGGUCCUUCUUAUAAUCAAAAUUAUACAAUGGAUUUUAAAAAUCUGUUAGAAGAGUAACUUCUAAGAACAUAACAACUAACUCGUGAUCCAAAUGGAAGUUUUUCAUUAGUGUAUAGAAGAUAGAGCUAGAGAGGUGUGUACAUUUACUUCUAAUUUACAAGAGCAGAAAAGACAGUGAUAAAAGACUGCUUCUGUCUUUUUAGACCCUUAGCAUCUUCUUCUACCACCUGUUUGGAUGCAUAUUAUGCAGUGUCCUUCAGCUUCCCUACCACAGUCAAAUGGUUCUAUGCAGCUGUUUGAGUGUAUAUGAUGAGGUUUAUUUUGAAUAAAGGGUGAAUGUGACUUUCA